rnacentral:rRNA from 1 species
UAUGGAAGAAAAGAAGUCUGAGCAAACACUCAACAAACACUCAACGAGUGGAUCAAAACGUUUGAACAAUUCAUCGAAAAAAACCUCCACAUCUAUUGGUAGCGUCCGUAACAAAUCU